rnacentral:rRNA from 1 species
UACGUAGGGCGCAAGCGUUGUCCGGAAUUAUUGGGCGUAAAGAGCCCGUAGGCGGCUUGUCACGUCGGGUGUGAAAGCCCGGGGCUUAACCCCGGGUCUGCAUUCGAUACGGGCUAGCUAGAGUGUGGUAGGGGAGAUCGGAAUUCCUGGUGUAGCGGUGAAAUGCGCAGAUAUCAGGAGGAACUCCGGUGGCGAAGGCGGAUCUCUGGGCCUUACCUGACACUGAGGAGCGAAAGCGUGGGGAGCGAACAGG